rnacentral:rRNA from 1 species
UACGUAGGGGCCUAGCGUUGUCCGGAUUUAUUGGGCGUAAAGAGCUCGUAGGCGGUUCGGUAAGUCAGGUGUGAAAUCUCCACGCUCAACGUGGAGGCGCCACCUGAAACUGCCGUGACUCGAGUCCGGUAGGGGAGUGUGGAAUUCCCGGUGUAGCGGUGAAAUGCGUAGAGAUCCGGAGGAACACCGAAGGCGAAGGCAGUGUCCUGGCGAGUAUCCUGACGCUGAGGUGCGAAAGCCAGGGGAGCGAACGGG